AUUGAACGCUGGCGGCAGGCCUAACACAUGCAAGUCGAACGAGUGGCGGACGUGUGAGUAAUGUCUGGGAAACUGCCCGUUGGAGGGGGAUAACUACUGGAAACGGUAGCUAAUACCGCAUACCAUCGGAUGUGCCCAGAUGGGAUUAGCUAUUAGGUGGGGUAACGGCUCACCUAGGCGACGAUCCCUAGCUGGUCUGAGAGGAUGACCGGCAAAACUGGAACGGGGAAACGGUCCAGACUCCUACGGGAGGCAGAAGUGGGGAAUAUUGCACAAGGGGCGCAAGCCGGAUGCAGCCAUGCCGCGUGUAUGAAGAAGGUCUUCGGGUUGUAAAGUACGUUCAGCGAGGAGGCGGUACUCGCAGAAGAAGCAACGGCUAACUCCGUGCCAGCAGCCGCGGUAAUAC
rnacentral:rRNA from 1 species